rnacentral:misc_RNA from 1 species
UCUCCGUUGGUGAACCAGCGGAGGGAUCAUUACCGAGUUUUUCUACUCCCAAACCCCUGUGACCUUAUGACUUUACUUUGGCUACGGCGCGUCAACGCCUCGGAAGUCCGAACAAGCGGCCGGAACCAGGCGCCCCCCGGGGGACCUAAACUCUUGUAUUUCUUACUUUGCAUGACUCUGUGGAUACAUAAACAAAUGAAUCAAAACUUUCAACAACGGAUCUCUUGGUUAUG